rnacentral:misc_RNA from 1 species
AACUGAUACUACCUGCGGGAACCUGCGGAAGGAUCAUUAUCGAGUGUGACCCUCCUGUAAAAAAGGGGGUACCUCCCGUCCUUUUGCUAGGCUCUCCCCCCACCAAAUUUUUUUUGGGAGGGGAAGCUUUUUUAAACCUUCUGCUUCGGUGGGUUUUAACCCCGCCGGAACAACCUCAAAAACUCUUUAUAAUUGUUCUGUCCGAGAAAAAUUUUAUAAAAUGAAAAAACUUUUAGCAAU